AUAAGCUAACAAGCACACAAAAUAAAGAAAAAAAAAACAAAAGUAUGUGAAAACCUCGCUUGAAUGUAAAUAGUACUUUUUCUCAGUUUUUGUCUCAUAAGGAUGUAACGCAUUGGUCCGUGUGCCGAAGCGCAUGAAAUGCAUCUGUGGGAUCAUUUCAUUUUCACUAAAAGGAGAAAACAGGGUUGGAUCAGCAGAUUAACUCAAACCUGCUGAUUAAAAAUAAUCAACAGGUUUGAUUAUUUUUAAGGUGAUCAAAGUGUGUAGACAAUCACACAUAUAUAAGUAGCUGCGCAAAGGUGAGCUGCGUAAUUGUGGAACACUUUGGCUCUGAUGGAGAAAAUCGCCCAGGGAAGGAUUCAGAGGGAGCGUUUGUUCAGAGAUCAUAUUGAUCUGCUGGGAAAUGUUGAUGAUGGCUUAUGAGUGUUUAGAUUGCUCAGACUCAUCAUCCUGGAGCUCUGAGCAAAACUUAAA